rnacentral:rRNA from 1 species
AGUGAACGCUGGCGGUAGGCCUAACACAUGCAAGUCGAACGGCAGCACAGGAGAGCUUGCUCUCUAGGUGGCGAGUGGCGGACGGGUGAGGAAUACAUCGGAAUCUGCCCAGUCGUGGGGGAUAACGUAGGGAAACUUACGCUAAUACCGCAUACGACCUUCGGGUGAAAGAGGGGGAUCGCAGGACCUCUCGCGAUUGGAUGAGCCGAUGUCGGAUUAGCUAGUUAGCGGGGUAAUGGCCCACCAAGGCGACGAUCCGUAGCUGGUCUGAGAGGAUGAUCAGCCACACUGGAACUGAGACACGGUCCAGACUCCUACGGGAGGCAGCAGUGGGGAAUAUUGGACAAUGGGCGCAAGCCUGAUCCAGCCAUACCGCGUGGGUGAAGAAGGCCUUCGGGUUGUAAAGCCCUUUUGUUGGGAAAGAAAUCUUUCAGGCUAAUACCCUGGGAGGAUGACGGUACCCAAAGAAUAAGCACCGGCUAACUUCGUG